rnacentral:rRNA from 1 species
GACGAACGCUGGCGGCGUGCCUAAUACAUGCAAGUCGAGCGAGCUUGCCUAGAUGAUUUUGAUGCUUGCAUCAAAUGAAACUAGAUACAAGCUAGCGGCGAACGGGUGAGUAACACGUGGGUAACCUGCCCAAGAGACUGGGAUAACACCUGGAAACAGAUGCUAAUACCGGAUAACAACACUAGACGCAUGUCUAGAGUUUGAAAGAUGGAUUUCUAUCACUCUUGGAUGGACCUGCGGUGCAUUAGCUAGUUGGUAAGGUAACGGCUUACCAAGGCAAUGAUGCAUAGCCGAGUUGAGAGACUGAUCGGCCACAUUGGGACUGAGACACGGCCCAAACUCCUACGGGAGGCAGCAGUAGGGAAUCUUCCACAAUGGACGAAAGUCUGAUGGAGCAACGCCGCGUGAGUGAAGAAGGGUUUCGGCUCGUAAAGCUCUGUUGUUGGUGAAGAAAGAUAGAGGUAGUAACUGGCCUUUAUUCGACGGUAAUCAAUUAGAAAGUCACGGCUAACUACGUGCCAGCAGCCGCGGUAAUACGUAGGUGGCAAGCGUUGUC